UUAUAACAACAUGUUCCUCUCGACUGAAGUAGGUGGCACGCGAUCGCUCCAUUUUGUGCAGAAGAAAAGUCAAAUGAUGCGUCAAAAGCCCCCUUUUAUGGAAACGCGCACAGAGCCUGAAGAAGAAAACCUGGUUAACAAAGAAAGAUGAUCACCACCGUCGUGAUUCCCGUUAUCUCUGAUUGGGGUUUUAGGUUUUGUCGAGCCAGCUAAAGCAAAGGAAGCCUGGCUCUGUCGAACUUGCUUUGUAGUACACCCCUCAGGUGUGAGCGUGAUUAUGAAAAUAAAGUUAUGGUUUGAUCGGUUCACCACCUACUGGCUCCCGUGGGUGAUUGGCUACCUUUGGAUAAUGGCUCACCAGUGGCAGCUGGCCAAUAGAGGGCACUAGGGCCACGUUGUUCAAAUAUUCAUUCUCAGUUAACUUGUAAUCUUUCUGAUAAGAAAUAUUAAAGGGGCCGUAGCAUGGUCACAACAAUUAGCAGCUUUUAUAUGUUAGGGAACAAAGUGACUCAAAGGAAAGGAAACAUGUCAGCUGACAUUUCCAAUGACGACUACAUACAAGACAAGUUAUACUAGGAAAGGAGAGUGUCAGUAAAAUGUGCUGAGUGUAAAGUUGUCAGUCGAGGAAUAACACAGGGCUGUGAAUGAGCCCUGUCACCGUGAUCAGGCUCCUCCUUCUGAUCCACCAACUUAGUGUUGAUGAAGACUCAACAGAGAUCACAGCCUUCUUUAUACUCGCUGUAGCUCACAGUUACUCAACACUGCAGACAUGACGCCUCUGUUCAUCUCGGUGUUGCUGGCUGCUGUGUGCCUCGAAUGCAGAGCACAAAAAGACAACGUGCUGCAAGUAAAAGAUGAUGUGACUUCUAGUGAAGGAGAGGCAGUAACACUUGGCUGUCAAUAUAACAGCAGUUCAACAAGUCCAAAUCUCUUCUGGUACAAACAGGAUAGAGACAACAGCCCCAAAUUCAUACUGAGCCGCUUUAAACUGGACGAAGGGAACACGCCAGACGAGUUUAAGGAGAGAUUUUCAUCCACACUGGAUUCCACCUUAAGAUCAGUUCCUCUGAAGAUCCACAAGCUUCAGCUGUCUGACUCUGCUGUGUACUACUGUGCUGUGACGCCCACAGUGACAGGAAACACCAAGACUCUGUACAAAAACCUUUGGAGCAAAGACAACAGAAUACUCCACAACAUCCACUAGAGGGAGUCACACACUGUUAACCUUCAGUGGUGUACGAUGAUAUAGUCUGGAUUCUUUGCACUGAUGACAGAAAAAUGAAGCCUAAAUAAUAAAACAAAAAUGAAGGAGAGUGUUUUUAUCCCUUGUUGUCAGCAGUUUCAUGUGGGAACAAUGGAGAGAAAAUAGUUCCCACACGAAACUGCUCACAACAAACCUGUG